rnacentral:rRNA from 1 species
UGGGGAAUAUUGCACAAUGGGCGCAAGCCUGAUGCAGCGACGCCGCGUGGGGGAUGACGGCCUUCGGGUUGUAAACCCCUUUCAGCAGGGAACAAGCAGUGAUGUGAGGGUACCUGCAGAAGAAGCGCCGGCUAACUACGUGCCAGCAGCCGCGGUAAUACGUAGGGCGCGAGCGUUAUCCGGAAUUAUUGGGCGUAAAGAGCUCGUAGGCGGUUUGUCGCGUCUGCUGUGAAAGCCCGGGGCUCAACCCCGGGUCUGCAGUGGGUACGGGCAGGCUGGAGUGCAGUAGGGGAGACUGGAAUUCCUGGUGUAGCGGUGAAAUGCGCAGAUAUCAGGAGGAACACCGAUGGCGAAGGCAGGUCUCUGGGCUGUAACUGACGCUGAGGAGCGAAAGCAUGGG